UAAAAGGAGCGGACAGGUGUAGUUAUCUUUGUGAAAGUGUCACUGCUCUGGGGCCCCAAAGCGGGUACUGUGAGGUGCCCCUGCUUGGCUCUUUUGUGCAGAGGAGUAGCGGGCGCGGCUGUGGGUGAAGAUGCCUAAUUUCAGGCGAGAGCCACC